UACGGAGGAUGCGAGCGUUAUCCGGAUUUAUUGGGUUUAAAGGGUGCGCAGGCGGCCUGUUAAGUCAGCGGUAAAAGCCCGGGGCUCAACCCCGGGACUGCAUUGGGAACUGCCCCGCUCGAGUGCCGGAGGGGCAGGCGGAAUUCCUAGUGUAGCGGUGAAAUGCGUAGAGAUCGGGAGGAACACCAGUGGCGAAGGCGGCCUACUGGGCUUUAACUGACGCUGAGGCACGAAAGCGUGGGUAGCAAACAGG
rnacentral:rRNA from 1 species